AUUAGCUCAGUCGGUAGAGCAUCUGACUUUUAAUCAGAGAGUCGCAGGUUCGAUUCCUGCAUG
rnacentral:tRNA from 1 species